AGAUAAUUUUGUCCCCCUUAUGUAAAAACUGAUUAAAUCUUAAAGCUGAGGUGUUUGAGAUGAAACCAUUUACCUCGUUAGAUGUAUAAUGAAAUGUUAGAUUAUCUUGAAGUUGUCCAGCGAUGCUAAUUUCAUGGACAUUAAACCUUUGAACCAUCUUGAUUCGGUUUCUUUUGCCUUCACCACAUUCGGAUAUUCAGUUUUGACUUUAACAUAUGUUUCUUCCUUCAAAAAUCUUGAAAUAUUUGACAUUGAUAUAAAUUUUCAGCUCUUAACAUCUAAAAGAUUUUAGUAUACUGAUUCUCAGAUUCUUCUGAAACAACUUCCUUGAGGAUUGAUUAUAUACAGCUGAAUUGAAUGUUUUAAA
rnacentral:lncRNA from 1 species